rnacentral:rRNA from 1 species
UGACCUCAAAUCAGGUAGGACUACCCGCUGAACUUAAGCAUAUCAUAA